rnacentral:rRNA from 1 species
GCCUACGGGACGCAGCAGUGGGGGAUAUUGCACAAUGGGGGGAACCCUGAUGCAGCGACGCCGCGUGGGCGAUGGAGUGCUUCGGCAUGUAAAGCCCUAUCAGCAGGGAAGAAAAUGACGGCACCUGACUAAGAAGCCCCGGCUAAAUACGUGCCAGCAGCCGCGGUAAUACGUAGGGAGCGAGCGUUGUCCGGAUUUACUGGGUGUAAAGGGUGCGCAGGCGGCUCUGCAAGUCAGGCGUGAAAGCUAGGGGCUCAACCCCUAAACUGCGCUUGAAACUGUGGAGCUUGAGUGAAGUAGAGGCA